UACGUAGGGUGCAAGCGUUGUCCGGAAUUAUUGGGCGUAAAGAGCUCGUAGGCGGUUUGUCGCGUCUGCUGUGAAAACUCGGGGCUUAACUCCGGGCCUGCAGUGGGUACGGGCAGACUAGAGUGCGGUAGGGGAGACUGGAAUUCCUGGUGUAGCGGUGAAAUGCGCAGAUAUCAGGAGGAACACCGGUGGCGAAGGCGGGUCUCUGGGCAACAACUGACGCUGAGGAGCGAAAGCGUGGGGAGCAAACAGG
rnacentral:rRNA from 1 species